GCACUACUGAGGAGUCCCGCAAUAGGACGAGACGGCCGUCCAGUGC
rnacentral:hammerhead_ribozyme from 1 species